UGCCUCAGUAACGGCGAGUGAAGCGGCACCAGCUCAAAUUUGAAAUCUGGCCUCUCGGGGUCCGAGUUGUAAUUUGUAGAGGAUGUUUUGGGUACCGCCCCGGUCUAAAUUUCUUGGAACAGAAUGUCAGAGAGGGUGAGAAUCCCGUCUUGGACCGGCGGUAGGGCCUGUGUAAAACUCCUUCGACGAGUCGAGUUGUUUGGGAAUGCAGCUCAAAAUGGGUGGUAAAUUUCAUCUAAAGCUAAAUAUUGGCCAGAGACCGAUAGCGCACAAGUAGAGUGAUCGAAAGAUGAAAAGCACUUUGAAAAGAGAGUUAAACAGUAUGUGAAAUUGUUGAAAGGGAAGCGCUUGCAACCAGACUUGAGCGCGGCGGUUCCCCUGGCCUUUUUGGCCAGGCUACUCCGUCGUGUCCAGGCCAACAUCGGUUCUGAGGGUCGGUCAAAGGCUCUGGGAAUGUAUCUACCCACGGGUAGACUUAUAGACCAGGGUGUCAUGCGGCCUCUCGGGACCGAGGAACGCGCUUCGGCUCGGAUGUUGGCGUAAUGGUUGUCAGCGACCCGUCUUGAAACACGGACCAAGGAGUCUAACAUCUAUGCGAGUGUUUGGGUGUCAAACCCGGAACGCGGAAUGAAAGUGAACGGAGGUAGGAAGCUUCGGCUGCACUAUCGACCGAUCC
rnacentral:rRNA from 1 species